UCUUAUGAAAAAUGGUUCUUCAAAGGUUCUGAAAUGAUGGUAAAGGUUCUAUAUAGAACCAUAGCUUACUGAAGAACCCUUUUUUGCUGAAAUGGUUCUUUGUCUUGGCAAAAGGGUUCUUUUUUUCCCUCCUGUUUUGAUUUUAAAUUUAGUCAGUUAUUUUCAAGCUGCCUCUUGAUUAUUUUCACCUGUAAAAGCCCUGAAUCAUCAGUCCUGCUGAACUGCCUGCAGACUAACAUCACAAACAGGUAAGAGAGGAAAAUAAUCAUCAUUUACUGUUAAAACAUUUUGAAAAUUGAAGUUUUGUGUGUUCUUAUUGUAAUUUAUUUAUUUUAUUACAGGUAAGCUUUAUACUGAAAGCUUCAUUCCCUUUAAAGCAGAGUUUUUAUAUUUGAGGUAAUCUUGCUGGGAGUGAAGGCAGUGCGUAUGAUCGCUUGAUAUGAGACACACAUACUGUAUUUAAAGGUCAACUUUAUACGUAAGCUUCAUUCCAUUUAUAACAGGUAAGCUUCAUAUUGUUUUAAAUGAUAUAUUUAGGGGACUCUACUUUAACAAUGACUUAGGAUAAUGAUUUGUUAAAGUGUUAUAAAGC